rnacentral:rRNA from 1 species
CCUACGGGAGGCAGCAGUGAGGAAUAUUGGUCAAUGGACGAGAGUCUGAACCAGCCAAGUAGCGUGAGGGAUGACUGCACUAUGUGUUGUAAACUUCUUUUAUCAGGGAAUAAAGUGAGGCACUAGUGCCCUUUUGUAUGUACUUUAUGAAUAAGGAUCGGCUAACUCCGUGCCAGCAGCCGCGGUAAUACGGAGGAUCCGAGCGUUAUCCGGAUUUAUUGGGUUUAAAGGGGGCGUAGAUGGGUUGUUAAGUCAGUUGUGAAAGUUUGGGGCUCAACCGUAAAAUUGCAUUUGAUACUGGCAGCCUUGAGUACAGUUGAGGUAGGCGGAAUUCGUGGUGUAGCGGUGAAAUGCUUAGAUAUCGCGAAGAACUCCGAUUGCGAAGGCAGCUUACCAAACUGCCACUGACAUUGAUGCACGAAAGUGUGGGUAUCAAACAGGAUUAGAUACCCUUGUAGUC